CUUGGUCCGCCGGGCCCCGCGCAGGGCAGUGCCGCGCAGCCGGCAGCGCAGCCAGCCUCCGGCUGCCGGGGCUGCAAGGGUGGUCAUGGAAUGAGAGAGACUUCAGAGGACAUCUCACCCGAUCCCCUCGAUUUACAGAGGAGGGAGCAGAGGCUCAGAGAAAUGAAAUGAACUGGCCACGGUGACAGAGUAACAGAGUCGGGAGCUGCAGUCCUGUGUUCUUUCCAUUGUAUGAUUUGCUGGGUGAAUGGAGGCCGAGACUGGACUCCCUCUCCACCCAGGUCAAGAGAUUGGACCGGCUCCCCGCUCCUUGGGGCAGCCAUCAUCCCUCUUUUUCUGUGUCUGCUUCAUGACCACGUUAGCUUGAGUAGAAAAAGAAGUCUGGUCCAGGUCUGUUCACUGGACAAGCCCCCCUGGAUCCUGCUGUGAGCAGGCAGAACAGCGGAGCUUUGUUUAAAAAAAAAAAAAAAAAAAAAAAAAGCAGCCACAUUAGCCUUCCUGGUUGAGGGCAUCCAAACCUUUAAUUAAAUGUUUUUGUUUGCGGAGCUCUGACAAUUGAUUUUAUUUCCAAUGACUUGUUGCAA